rnacentral:rRNA from 1 species
CCUACGGGUGACAGCAGUCGAGAAUCAUUCACAAUGGCCGAAAGCCUGAUGGUGCGACGCCGCGUGGGGGAAUGAAGUUCUUCGCAUUGUAAACUUCUGUCAUGUGGGAGCAAAUUAAAACGAUAGUACCACACGAGGAAGAGACGGCUAACUCGGUGCCAGCAGCCGCGGGCAUACAGGGGGCUCAAGCGGUGAUUGGGAUCACUGGUCUGAAAGGGUUGGGAGGCUGGUACGUAAAGCGAGUGUGAAAGGGGCGGGCUCAACCCGCGGAGGGCAGAUGAAACUGGCGGACUAGAGUGAGGGAGGGGGAUGCGGAAUGCGCGGUGUAGCAGUGAAAUGCGUAGAUAUCGAGAAGAACACUCGUGGCGAAGGCAGGAUCCUGGAGAUUAACUGACGCUGAGGCACGAAGGCGAGGGGAGCGAAAGGGAUUAGAUACCCGAGUAGUC